GUGUCUCCUCCUCCUUCUGUGUCUAUGGUGUGUCUUCUUCAAGUGUCUCCUCCUUCUGUGUCUGGUGUGUCUUCUUCAAGUGUCUUCUCCUCCUUCUGUGUCUAUGGUAUGUCUUCCUCAAGUAUCUUUUCUUCCUCCUUCUGUGUCUAUGGUGUGUCUUCCUCAAGUAUCUUUUCCUCCUCCUCUGUCUAUGGUGUGUCUUCCUCAAGUAUCUUUUCCUCCUCCUCUGUCUAUGGUGUGUCUUCCGUAGUCCCAUGUUUCUUCCUUGUAUUGCUUUGAGCUUUGUCUGGUUUUCUCCUCUGACGCUUGUGUGAUCUGUGCCUUGUCUUGGUCUGUUUUUCUCUCUGCUUGCUCUUUCUCUUAGCUCUUCUUUCACUCUUUCUGCCUUCUAUGACUCCCCUUUGGGUCCCACGUUGCACGCAUCCCUCUGCUUCCUUUGUGCUCGCUCGCUCGCCUCACUUGUUUUUGUCUGUGUGAUCUGUUUGUCAGCCCUUUGACUCAACAUUUCCCAUUUUCCUUUCUGCUGUUUCUGUCCUUAGCACAUGCUUCUCUUCAUUACACCUCCUUUCUGCCUUGGGCUCUUUUCUCUCUUCCGUCUUUGUAGCUGUGUCUUUGCUGUUGGUGAGUUCUGAUCUCGGCAUUACUCCAUUGCGCUGUGCUCGCUUAUGCUUCUUUCUUUCUCUUCUGCUUUUCCCUCUUUCUACUCACGUGGAGCAUUUCAGUCUCUUUACAAGUCUGUGUGUCUCGCUCUCUUACUCUAAUGUAAUCCUCUCUUGGAUAUUUCUCUCUCUUUCUUUCUCUCUCUCUCUCUCUCUCUCUCUCUCUCUCUCUCUCUCUGUGUAUGUGUGUGUGUGUGUGUGUGUGUGUGUGUGUGUGAUAGAGGGUCUUCCUAGCCCCUUCCAAUAGGUGCAGAAUGUCACCUCAUGCCAGACUGCCCUGCGAAAUAACCCAAGACAAACACAGCACCACAGUCAGGACUGGAGUAGAUCUGAGAUGAACACGUGUAAAGGCCCAAAGUGGAAGACAGAUGUUCUGUGACUCGCGACUUAAGGACCAAGACACACAGAAGGCUUAUCUGAACUGGCUGGAAGGUUCGUGUCUUAAGCUGGAUGGACAGAAUGCUGACAACCCAAAGGAGAGAGACUGUUUCCACAGGACCCAUGCGAAGUCUAAGAAGUGAGACCCGCGUCCUAAGACACAACCUGAGCUAAGUCCAAGCCAAAGAACUAAGGACUCCAGCCUAUGUGGACAUAAGGCCUAAGAGAUAAAGGGUAGAAGUUGGAGGCCUCUAGCCUAAACCUCUGGAGGGCCAGAAUCCUAGGACCAGGGGAGAGCUGAAGCCGAGACCCUCCCACUGACGUUCGUACUGUUAAAUCCCUUUCCUUCUCUAGGACAUUCCCAGCACUCUGUUCUAUCUCUUAGGUUUCCGUUUGAGCCAGCUCUGCUGGAGAUGUACUUGUCAAUGUUGUCCUUUGCCGGAAAGGAACAAGCUUUUAGACUGACAGUAUUGUGCGCGGGUCGGUCGUUAAUCUGUUUUAAAGCUGAUUUUAGCCAUUUGUUAAAUGUUUGUGUUUUAAAACUUCCAUUUCUCUUCACAUCUGCUCCACUUGAGAGAGAAAACAAAAUCCAGCCAGUGGUAUCUAGUCUGACUUUUGCUAUUCCCCUAGGAGCAAGCAUCCAUACAGCCAGAUACUGUACUUCCAUCCUCCCUAACUCAGAAGUCCUAGGCUAUGAGAAAGGGAAGCAUCAGAAUAUUGGGGAAAACAAUAUCAGGCUAUCUAGAGAAAAUAUGAAGACAUGCUCCAGACCGAUGAGAAGAAUUAGACAAGUAAGAUGCAAGUGUGCCAACCCCUGAGAAGCACCAGCCAGCAUCCCCUUCCUUCUCUGGGCUUAGUUUCUGCGAUCACUACAGCUUUAAAAAAAAAAAGAGCAUCUUAUUGUCAUCUGCUUUGGUUACAUAAAUGAACU